rnacentral:tRNA from 2 species
GGGGAAUUAGAUCAAUUGGCAGAUCGCCCGCUUAGCAUGCGGGAGGUACGGGGAUCGAAGCCCCGAUUCUCCA